rnacentral:lncRNA from 1 species
UUUUGGCUGCUAUAACAGAAUAUCACACACUGGUAAUUAAUAAAGAAUAGAAUUUUAUUUGACUCAUGAUUCUGGAGGCUGGGAAGCCAAAACAACAUUAUACUGGUAUAUGUUGAAGGUCUAGUUGCUGGAUAAUAACAUACACAAAGAUGUGAGGGAGAGAGAGCUUUUUUUUUUUAAUAUAUAACAGAUCCAUUCUUGUUAUAAUUAGCCCAUUCCCAUAAUAAGAACGUUAAUCCAUUCAUGAGGGCAGAGUGCUUAUAGCUUAAUUAAUUUUUAAAGGUUCCACCUGUUAAUUCUAACAUGUUGGCUAUUAAAUUUUAUCCUAAAUUUUGGAGAUGACAUUCAGUGUACAGCAGUAUCUGUUUAGUAGAUACUUUAAUCUUUUUAUUUGUAAGGUAGUGAUAGGUAAGCAGUUACUAUUGUACAUUUGUAGUUUUCUGUCCAUUUUAAGUUUGCUUCUUUUUUUUCUGGUUCUGUCUUUCCUGUGGUAUUGUUCAUUUUUGUUGAGACAAAGUUAUGCUUUCUUGCUCAGACUGAAGUGCAGUGGCAUAUCACAGCUCACUGUAGCCUUAACCUCCUGGGCUCAAAUAAUCGUCCCACCUUAGCCACCCAAGUAGCUUGGACUGCAGACAUGUACCACAACACCCAAGGAGAUUUGAUUCUUCCACCUUGGCCUCCCAAAGUGUUGGAAUUAUAAGCAGGAGACACCAUAUCCAAUGUGUAAUUUUUGUUGUUUGUGUAUGCUUUAAUUACUUUCUCUUUUUCUUUACUAUUUUUUUUUCCUACUGGUUAUCAUGAGACUUAUGUAAAACAUCUUGUAUUUUAAUAGUCUAGUUUAAGAUGAUAACAAUUUAUAGUAUUCUGAAAUUCAGUAUGUAUUUACCAUUUUAGUGACAUUUAUACUUUAGUAUUUUUCAUAUUGUUAGUUAGCAUUUCAUCAUAUCAAUGUGAAGAUUUCUUCCAGACCAUGGCUGGAGAAGGAAAGAAGGUGUGUUUUGCCUGAUUCAGGGACUAUAGAGAGAACCAAGUUCUGCAGGCCUGUCAUCUAAGUCUCAGGGCGGGGAGACCUUCCUUCCCCACGGGUUUGAGGCUAUGGCUAAGUGGUGAGCCUUGGUGAGACGCAGAAAGGAUCCAUCCCAGGCACUUGGCUAGAGCCCCUGAACUUUGACUCACCCACAGCCUCAGAGAACCUACAACCCAUAUUUAUACAUAUCCCUCCUAAGAACAGGCUGACUUCAAGAUGAAACAUUAUCUUAUCUGGGAUCUGAUUUUGCUACCCUCCAUCCUGUGCUUCCUUUCCAACCUUCUUUGUAAACUUAUUUUCUCCUCCCUAUGAAAUAAAACCCUUUUCCACCUAACCUUUGAGAUCCUCAAAGAUCUAAUCAUUUGUACUUUUUCCUUGUUACAACACUUCUUAAGUAACUUCUUAGACAAAGUCUAUAAACAGUCUCAGGACAAUAACAACUCCAUUCUAGAAAGAAUAUCCCAACUUUUCUUCAAUCUCAACCCCAACUGCAUCUGCCUGUCAACUUCCAGCUUACCAAAGCUCUGUAUCUUCUGACAGUGACAAAGGCUCCUUCUAUGGUUGGUGUGAGCAGACUUUGAUGUCUGCAGGGCAGACACCCAGGAAUAAUCAACUGGGCCUUCAGUGGCCCCCUUUUGCAGGGUCAACGUUAGCCUUAGCUUUUAGUCAACGGUCUAAGACUUCUACUUACCAGUUAAAGUCAUUCAAUUAGUUUUCAAUUUAAAAAAUACUUCAUGUUUGAAGAAUCCAGCAAAAAUCAUUCAAAUCUAAGGUUUAAAAGAGAGGAAAUUAUGGUCGGGCAUGGUGGCUCAUGCCUGUAAUCCCUGCAUUUUGGGAGGCUGAGGCGGGCAGAUUACCUGAGGU